rnacentral:rRNA from 1 species
UACAGAGGGGGCCAGCGUUAUUCGGAAUUAUUGGGCGUAAAGGGCGCGUAGGCGGCUUGGCAAGUGGAUGGUGAAAUCCCUCGGCUUAACCGAGGAACUGCCGUCCAAACUGCUUCGCUUGAGACCGGGAGAGGUGAGUGGAAUUCCCAGUGUAGCGGUGAAAUGCGUAGAUAUUGGGAGGAACACCAGUGGCGAAGGCGGCUCACUGGACCGGUACUGACGCUGAUGCGCGAAAGCGUGGGGAGCAAACGGG